GCCCGGGUAGCUCAAUCGGUAGAGCGUGUGGCUCUUAUUGAUCACCUCAAGGUCGCGGGUUCGAGCCCCGCCUCGGGCU
rnacentral:tRNA from 1 species